GCCCAAUGAUGAGACCAAGGCGAAUGCGAGCCAACUGAACGAGAGUGUUGGGUUCUCCUUUGUCUUGAUUGGCCGGUAAUCUUGGCAGUGUAGCGAAGAUUGGCUGCUCUGCUGUAAGGGCCGGCCUACAGUGACUUGGCCCCACCCACAUGUUUCUCCCGUUAAAGAAACACGGUAGAGAAUAGUGGGAGGGUGCUGACAGUGUGACUGAUGUGUGUUUGUCUGUAUGUAUGAGGCAGGGAGAACCCCACCUCUCCUCAAUAUUCAGUUGUCCAUGAGCGCUCUUCUUUGGUAAUCUGAGGGCU
ensembl:snoRNA